GACGAACGCUGGCGGCGUGCCUAAUACAUGCAAGUAGAACGCUGAAGAGAGGAGCUUGCUCUUCUUGGAUGAGUUGCGAACGGGUGAGUAACGCGUAGGUAACCUGCCUUGUAGCGGGGGAUAACUAUUGGAAACGAUAGCUAAAACCGCAUAACAAUGGAUGACACAUGUCAUUUAUUUGAAAGGGGCAAUUGCUCCACUACAAGAUGGACCUGCGUUGUAUUAGCUAGUAGGUGAGGUAAUGGCUCACCUAGGCGACGAUACAUAGCCGACCUGAGAGGGUGAUCGGCCACACUGGGACUGAGACACGGCCCAGACUCCUACGGGAGGCAGCAGUAGGGAAUCUUCGGCAAUGGGGGCAACCCUGACCGAGCAACGCCGCGUGAGUGAAGAAGGUUUUCGGAUCGUAAAGCUCUGUUGUAAGUCAAGAACGGGUGUGAGAGUGGAAAGUUCACACUGUGACGGUAGCUUACCAGAAAGGGACGGCUAACUACGUG
rnacentral:rRNA from 1 species